rnacentral:rRNA from 1 species
UACGAAGGGAGCUAGCGUUGUUCGGAAUCACUGGGCGUAAAGCGCACGUAGGCGGAUUUGCCAGUCAGGGGUGAAAUCCUGCAGCUUAACUGUAGAAGGGCCUUUGAUACUGGCGAGCUCGAGGGAGGUAGGGGUAUGUGGAACUUCCGGUGGAGCGGUGAAAUGCGUUGAUAUCGGAAGGAACGCCGGUGGCGAAAGCGACGUACUGGACCUCUUCUGACGCUGAGGCGCGAAAGCUAGGGGAGCAAACGGG